rnacentral:rRNA from 1 species
UACGUAGGGGGCAAGCGUUGUCCGGAAUCAUUGGGCGUAAAGCGCGCGUAGGCGGCCCGGUAAGUCCGCUCUGAAAGUCCAGGGCUCAACCCUGGAAAGCGGGUGGAUACUGCCGGGCUAGAGUCCGGAAGAGGCGAGUGGAAUUCCUGGUGUAGCGGUGAAAUGCGCAGAUAUCAGGAAGAACACCCGUGGCGAAGGCGGCUCUCUGGGACGGUACUGACGCUGAGACGCGAAAGCGUGGGGAGCGAACAGG